UUAUGCUGAUGAUGAGUUGAAGUUAUUGCCUACAUUGUUUGACAAAUAUGUUAGUGAUAUAAAUACUGCAACUUCUGAGGCUUCA